UUCUCAUCCAAUGACAGGCCUCGUUCUAUGAUGACAUCAUCCCACAAGUUCCAGUGUUAAAAUUGGGCUCCCGAGUUCUUCGUCCUUUUCUACGGGGAAAUGUGUGUGAAGGAUGACCCUUCCCUUUCAGUCUGGAGACGUAGAGAAGGACAUCAUGUAAACCACGUUUUUGUCUUUAAAUCUAAACCAUUAACAAAUGAAAUGAAAUUAGUAUUAUCUGAAGGAAUGUACAAAUACCUGCGUAAAGACUAGAUAAUUUUACAGUAAAGUUAAACACUGGGAGUUUUUCUCAAGCACUCAGUAGGCUAGAGUAAUAGGUAGUAAUGCAGGAAGAAAGAUAAGGCACGAGAACCUUUUAAUACAGUAGGGCCAUCAUGUCACUCCCGAAGAAUAACGUCUAAAAUCCGAGAAGUGAACCUUUUGUGGAAAGUCAUGUGAAAAUCUACUAUUUUGUGAGCUACUUAAAAAUAGACAAAAGAGCUUAAAAUGGAGGUACCCUGAAUGUGUGGAUAGUGCUGCUCCCAGACCAUGGGUUUUAGAAUUAAGAACACAGUGCCACACACAAGAUACCACCCUGUGGAUUGUUGGCCAGAGAGAUCUCAGAGGAUUCUCAAAUAAUGCAAUUGUCAUUCCUCCUGGUUGGCCCCCCAAAACAGAUGGUAAGUCUCCGUUCCUGAAGAUACCACAUAUCUCAGUUACAGGGUACAGAGAAACCAUCGUAGAACAAAGCUGGGGGCUCCUUCCCUUCUAGUGACCAUUCAUUGUGCCAGGAGGUACACAGACUUCUGCUGGAAAAGCAGAGUAGUCAGUGGUCAUACCAAGCUCUAGAGCCAGUGUGAUAAGUUAGUGACCUGCCAGGCCAGGUUUGCCACUGAGGCAAUGCUGACAUGAGUGUUAUGGAGUAACCAACUGCUCUGCAAUCAGAUUUGAGGCCUCUACACAGGAAGGCAUGCACACAGGAUAUGUGAGCUUCCUCAAAACGGUAAAUGGAUGUGUUGUCCAACUGCUUUCUUUUGUACACCUAGACUAGAGCAGCUUCCCGCCUUGGCCAGAGAAUCUACUUUUUACAGAAGUCAACCAUUCGUGCAGAGACUCAUCUGGCCGGAGUAUGAAGGGUAAGUGAGAACUGUAUGCUCAGCCAUGAAUCAGAGAAGAAACGGCAGAAUGUAGGAACGAGUGAGGAGGAUUGCUGUAAACUGCCUUCUGGUUAUGACAGGUCUGUACUGAUCAUAAGCAAAGAGCAGCCAAGGACACCUGCACAAGACGCCUUCAGCAUCCACCAGGGAUGGGGAGCUGCCAUGACACCCAACCCCCUUUGUGAGAGUUGAUGGUUUCCAAUCGAGAGGGCAGCAUUUUCCUCAGUGUUGCAGCCACUGAUAAAUACAGUUGUGGCUAUUGAUUUAAUAUCCCACAAGACUCUGACUGGCUCUGGUUGGGAAGACACUAUAUGGUAAUAAUGCAAAUACCUCAAAUUCAAUAUUUUAAACAAAAAAAUGUACUGAGUGCACUGAAAGAGUGUCUCCUGGACUGCUGCCUGCAGCCUAAGGCGGUAGGUUUUAGUUUUGUCUAUUUACUUAUUACUCAUACAGAGGCUCAUGUGAAUAGCACUGCUUCAAACUCACUAUGUAGCUGGAAAUGACCUUGAGCUCCUAGUCCUUCUCCCCCAUCUCCUCGGUCCUGAGAUUUCCGGUACAUGCCAACAUGCCUGGGAAAAUGCAUAUCUGAAGACUUCAUGUCUUCAUGAUACUUCACCAAUCUAUUCAAUCGCCUGGUUGACUUUGCUAUAUAGUAAUUUAAAGGGUGUUUUUAUUUUAUGCACAAUGUGUAUAAAGUAAGAUUCUUAAUAAAUGACUCAGUAACACAGCACCACGAUCAAGAACAGAGGAUUCAUUCCUGACUCUUGACCUUUCUUCCAGAGGACUUGGGUUCGAUUCCCAGCAUCCACGUAUCAGCUCAGAACCACAAUCCAGAAAAUGGAAAACUCAAUCCAGAAAGUGAGAGAUUUCUUGCUUGGUUUGAAGUAGGUGAAUCCACUUCUAGUCUGGACCUAUGACGUGGGAAGACACACGCCAUUAACCCAGACCUUGAAGUGAGAAGACACGCCUUUAAUAUGGGCCACACCUUUUGCUGGACAUCUAUAUAAGGAGAGAGAAGAAGAAAGCUUUUGCUCUUUGCCUUUUUGCCCUCACCUUGCUAGCACGUCCAUCCCUUCACUGGCAGGAGAGCCUACGUGUUUGAGAUCCCAGCAUCUACUGAAGAGCAACUGAGGCAUCCCGCUUUGUGAACUGAACACUACUGGAUUCUUGGACUUUGCGUCCACAGCCAGCCAUUGUUGGAUUAGCUGGAUGGCAGCCUGCCUUACACAGAGAGAGGCAGCACCUUCUGCCCCACCCUGCUCAGUUCAGAAGACACUGGUAGCGUCAUUUAAGCACUGAAGCAAAUAACACAGCGUACUGCAAGUCAGAGGAGCUUAAGUGGGACUCCAACUAAUCUUUUUUAAGGCUCUGUGUCACUGCCACCUGGCCUUGAAUUUCUCAGGAUGACCUCCCCCAUUGCUGGCACAGGAGGCGCUCAGUCAAUACGCCCGAAUCCAGAUAAAGCACACCAAGCCAACCGGGU
rnacentral:sRNA from 1 species